rnacentral:rRNA from 1 species
CGUGUAGGCGGCCCGGCACGUCCGUCGCUGAAAUCCCCCGGCUCAACCGGGGAAGUGGCGUGGAUACGACCGGGCUGGAGGGGGGUAGGGGGAGCCGGAACUUCCGGUGGAGCGGUGAAAUGCGUUGAGAUCGGAAGGAACGCCCGUGGCGAAAGCGGGCUCCUGGACCCCACCUGACGCUGAGACGCGAAAGCCAGGGGAGCGAACG